rnacentral:rRNA from 1 species
AUUGCAGGCUGCAAUUCGCCUGCAUGAAGCUGGAAUUGCUAGUAAUCGCGGAUCAGCAAGCCGCGGUGAAUACGUUCCCGGGCCUUGUACACACCGCCCGUCACACCAUGAGAGUCGGGAACACCCGAAGUCCGUAGUCUAACCGCAAGGGGGGCGCGGCCGAAGGUGGGUCCGGUAAUUGGGGUGAAGUCGUAACAAGGUAUC